rnacentral:rRNA from 1 species
UGUACCUACGGGGGGCAGCAGUGAGGAAUAUUGGUCAAUGGCCGGAAGGCUGAACCAGCCAAGCCGCGUGAAGGAAGAAGGUACUUAGUAUUGUAAACUUCUUUUGUCGGGGAACAAAGGCGGAGACGCGUCUCCGGAUGAGUGUACCCGAAGAAAAAGCAUCGGCUAACUCCGUGCCAGCAGCUGCGGUAAUACGGAGGAUGCGAGCGUUAUCCGGAUUUAUUGGGUUUAAAGGGUGCGCAGGCGGGAGAUCAAGUCAGCGGUAAAAUGUCGGGGCUCAACCCCGGCCGGCCGUUGAAACUGGG